rnacentral:rRNA from 1 species
UACGUAGGGAGCGAGCGUUGUCCGGAAUCAUUGGGCGUAAAGCGCGUGUAGGCGGCCUGCAUAGUCUGGUGUGAAAUCUUUCGGCUCAACCGGAAGCGGUCACUGGAUACUGGCAGGCUUGAGUCCGGAAGAGGAGAGUGGAAUUCCUGGUGUAGCGGUGGAAUGCGCAGAUAUCAGGAGGAACACCUAUGGCGAAGGCAGCUCUCUGGUACGUGACUGACGCUGAGACGCGAAAGCGUGGGGAGCGAACAGG